rnacentral:rRNA from 2 species
AGACCCGAAACCCGGUGAUCUAGCCAUGGGCAGGUUGAAGGUUGGGUAACACUAACUGGAGGACCGAACCGACUAAUGUUGAAAAAUUAGCGGAUGACCUGUGGCUGGGGGUGAAAGGCCAAUCAAACCGGGAGAUAGCUGGUUCUCCCCGAAAGCUAUUUAGGUAGCGCCUCGUGAAUUCAUCUCCGGGGGUAGAGCACUGUUUCGGCUAGGGGGCCAUCCCGGCUUACCAACCCGAUGCAAACUGCGAAUACCGGAGAAUGUUAUCACGGGAGACACACGGCGGGUGCUAACGUCCGUCGUGAAGAGGGAAACAACCCAGACCGCCAGCUAAGGUCCCAAAGUCAUGGUUAAGUGGGAAACGAUGUGGGAAGGCCCAGACAGCCAGGAUGUUGGCUUAGAAGCAGCCAUCAUUUAAAGAAAGCGUAAUAGCUCACUGGUCGAGUCGGCCUGCGCGGAAGAUGUAACGGGGCUAAACCAUGCACCGAAGCUGCGGCAGCGACAUUUAGGUGUUGUUGGGUAGGGGAGCGUUCUGUAAGCCUGUGAAGGUGGCCUGUGAGGGUUGCUGGAGGUAUCAGAAGUGCGAAUGCUGACAUAAGUAACGAUAAAGCGGGUGAAAAGCCCGCUCGCCGGAAGACCAAGGGUUCCUGUCCAACGUUAAUCGGGGCAGGGUGAGUCGACCCCUAAGGCGAGGCCGAAAGGCGUAGUCGAUGGGAAACGGGUUAAUAUUCCCGUACUUGGUGUUACUGCGAAGGGGGGACGGAGAAGGCUAUGUUGGCCGGGCGACGGUUGUCCCGGUUUAAGCGUGUAGGUGUGUGUUCCAGGUAAAUCCGGUUCACUUUAACACUGAGGCGUGAUGACGAGGCACUACGGUGCUGAAGCAACAAAUGCCCUGCUUCCAGGAAAAGCCUCUAAGCAUCAGGUAACAUCAAAUCGUACCCCAAACCGACACAGGUGGUCAGGUAGAGAAUACCAAGGCGCUUGAGAGAACUCGGGUGAAGGAACUAGGCAAAAUGGUGCCGUAACUUCGGGAGAAGGCACGCUGACACGUAGGUGAAGUGAUUUACUCAUGGAGCUGAAGUCAGUCGAAGAUACCAGCUGGCUGCAACUGUUUAUUAAAAACACAGCACUGUGCAAACACGAAAGUGGACGUAUACGGUGUGACGCCUGCCCGGUGCCGGAAGGUUAAUUGAUGGGGUCAGCGCAAGCGAAGCUCCUGAUCGAAGCCCCGGUAAACGGCGGCCGUAACUAUAACGGUCCUAAGGUAGCGAAAUUCCUUGUCGGGUAAGUUCCGACCUGCACGAAUGGCGUAAUGAUGGCCAGGCUGUCUCCACCCGAGACUCAGUGAAAUUGAACUCGCUGUGAAGAUGCAGUGUACCCGCGGCAAGACGGAAAGACCCCGUGAACCUUUACUAUAGCUUGACACUGAACAUUGAGCCUUGAUGUGUAGGAUAGGUGGGAGGCUUUGAAGCGUGGACGCCAGUCUGCGUGGAGCCGACCUUGAAAUACCACCCUUUAAUGUUUGAUGUUCUAACGUGGACCCGUGAUCCGGGUUGCGGACAGUGUCUGGUGGGUAGUUUGACUGGGGCGGUCUCCUCCUAAAGAGUAACGGAGGAGCACGAAGGUUGGCUAAUCCUGGUCGGACAUCAGGAGGUUAGUGCAAUGGCAUAAGCCAGCUUGACUGCGAGCGUGACGGCGCGAGCAGGUGCGAAAGCAGGUCAUAGUGAUCCGGUGGUUCUGAAUGGAAGGGCCAUCGCUCAACGGAUAAAAGGUACUCCGGGGAUAACAGGCUGAUACCGCCCAAGAGUUCAUAUCGACGGCGGUGUUUGGCACCUCGAUGUCGGCUCAUCACAUCCUGGGGCUGAAGUAGGUCCCAAGGGUAUGGCUGUUCGCCAUUUAAAGUGGUACGCGAGCUGGGUUUAGAACGUCGUGAGACAGUUCGGUCCCUAUCUGCCGUGGGCGCUGGAGAACUGAGGGGGGCUGCUCCUAGUACGAGAGGACCGGAGUGGACGCAUCACUGGUGUUCGGGUUGUCAUGCCAAUGGCACUGCCCGGUAGCUAAAUGCGGAAGAGAUAAGUGCUGAAAGCAUCUAAGCACGAAACUUGCCCCGAGAUGAGUUCUCCCUGAGACUUUAGGUCUCCUGAAGGAACGUUGAAGACGACGACGUUGAUAGGCCGGGUGUGUAAGCGCAGCGAUGCGUUGAGCUAACCGGUACUAAUGAACCGUGAGGCUUAACCUUACAAC